CUCCGGCAAGUUCUAUUUAUUUGUGUCCUUGCUGCCAAUAGAUGUAAUUUCAUCACGAGCACCCAAGUACAGCAGCACUAUUGUCGUUCAUUAUUGUUGGCUUAUGCCCUAGAGAUAAAAUAAUUAGCAUUUGCCUCUGUGUGCCGGACUGUAGUUGUACCAUAUGCCUAUUGUAUCAUUUUCAUCCUUGAUAGAUGCAGCGAGUAAAUUGUCACUGAAAAAUGUUGUGGUUGCAGCGUUUGUUUUGUUAAUUCUGCAUUCCUUCCUUUAUGAGAAAAGUGUUACUUCUGCGUUAGUUAUAUGUUAUGUUUCUCUAUGUCCAUUGCUUGUAUUGACUUCAGAUUGUGCAUAUGUGGAGAAGCAUGUCUGCUCCCAGUGGAGAGGACUUUCAGAAAGACAACUAGGCACUUGCUUUAGCAUUCACGAUUACUAUUUUUGUAAAAAUAUUCAUACGUGUGUUUGAAUUGUUUUUAAUAGCUGUCUUUAUUACUCUCUCUGAUUGAAAAAAAAAUCGGAGGCUGCCUACAGCAAGUCUCUUUGUCAUCAGCGCCUUUCUUUGCUUGGUAGCUCCACAUCCAAUCUUUCAAGCUACAUCCAGAUAAGCAUGUGUUAAAUAAAAGCUGGUUGGCGUCGUCGCAAUUGCCAAAUGUGUGUGGACAUAUUUUUCAUCUUCCGCAUGUUCUCUGUCGAGAUCAAUGAGAAAGCUAGGUAGGGAGAACAACAAGUCUUCUGCAAGGUGAAAAUUGAGAAGAAAAUAUUUGGGUUGGACGACAGGGUUCAUCGGCCGGAAACCAUAUGUUUGAUUUUGCUCGAUAUGUACUUAGCAACAAUAUGGCAUCACUUUGAUUGAUAUCUUGGUGCAUCUUUUAUUGUUCAGUAGGCUCCACUUAUUGAGUAAACAUUGUCCA